rnacentral:rRNA from 1 species
AACGAACGCUGGCGGCAGGCCUAACACAUGCAAGUCGAGCGAGGACUUCGGUCCUAGCGGCGGACGGGUGAGUAACGCGUGGGAACGUGCCCUUUGCUUCGGAAUAGCCCUGGGAAACUGGGAGUAAUACCGGAUGAGCCCUUUGGGGGAAAGAUUUAUCGGCGAAGGAUCGGCCCGCGUUGGAUUAGGUAGUUGGUGGGGUAAUGGCCUACCAAGCCGACGAUCCAUAGCUGGUUUGAGAGGAUGAUCAGCCACACUGGGACUGAGACACGGCCCAGACUCCUACGGGAGGCAGCAGUGGGGAAUCUUAGACAAUGGGGGAAACCCUGAUCUAGCCAUGCCGCGUGAGCGAUGAAGGCCUUAGGGUUGUAAAGCUCAUUCAGCUGGGAAGAUAAUGACGGUACCAGCAGAAGAAGCCCCGGCUAACUCCGUG